GCGCAGCAGGCGCGAAACUUUACAAUGUGCGAAGCACGAUAAGGGAACUCUGAGUGCCUCCUAAGGAGGCUGUUCAGGUGUCUAAAAGCACCUGGAGUAAGGGCUGGGUAAGACCGGUGCCAGCCGCCGCGGUAACACCGGCAGCCCAGGUGGUAGCCACUUUUAUUGGGUCUAAAGCGUCCGUAGCCGGUUGAGUAAGUUCCUUGGGAAAUUUGGCUGCUCAACAGUCAAGCUUCCAGGGAAUACUGCUCGACUUGGGACUGGGAGAGGUCAGAGGUACUCCAGGGGUAGGGGUGAAAUCCAUUAAUCCCUGGGGGACCACCGGUAGCGAAGGCGUCUGACCAGACCAGGUCCGACGGUGAGGGACGAAGGCUAGGGUCGCGAACCGGAUUA
rnacentral:rRNA from 1 species